AACGUAGGAGACAAACGUUAUCCGGAGUUACUGGGCGUAAAGCGCACGUAGGCGGAUUUGUAAGUCAGGGGUGAAAUCCCGGGGCUCAACCUCGGAACUGCCUUUGAUACUGCAAAUCUCGAGUCCGGAAGAGGUGAGUGGAAUUCCUAGUGUAGAGGUGAAAUUCGUAGAUAUUAGGAAGAACACCAGUGGCGAAGGCGGCUCACUGGUCCGGUACUGACGCUGAGGCGCGACAGCGUGGGGAGCAAACAGG
rnacentral:rRNA from 1 species